rnacentral:rRNA from 1 species
GACGUAGGGCGCGAGCGUGUCCGGAUUUAUUGGGCGUAAAGAGCUCGUAGGCGGCUCAUUGCGUCAACCGUGAAAUCCUGCUGCCCAACGGCAGGUCUGCGGUUGAUACGGGUGGGCUGGAGUUGGUGAGGGGAGACUGGAAUUCCUGGUGUAGCGGUGAAAUGCGCAGAUAUCAGGAGGAACACCGGUGGCGAAGGCGGGUCUCUGGGCCGAUACUGACGUGAGGAGCGAAAGCUGGGGAGCGAACGG